CAGUAUUUGGGAUAACUCCGCGAAAGCGGAGCUAAUACCGGAUAAUCUUUUAAGUAUGUGAGUGCUAAAGAGGAAAGGUGACCUCUCGACGAAGUUACCGUACAGGGAUGAGCCUGCGUACCAUUAGUUAGUUGGUGGGGUAAAGGUUUACCAAGGCAACGAUGGUUAGCGGGUCUGAGAGGAUGAUCCGCCACACUGGAAUUGGAAUAUGGAUUAGACUCCUAUGGGAGGUAGUAGUGAGGAAUUUUGCGCAAUGGGGGAAACCCUGACGCAGCGACGCCGCGUGUGUGAUGAAGGCUUUCGGGUCGUAAAGCCCUGUCAGGUGGGAAGAAGUGUGUAUUGGUUAAUACCCAAUACAUUUGAUGGUACCACCAGAGGAAGCACCGGCUAACUCCGUGCCAGUAGUUGUGGUAAUACGGAGGGUGCGAGCGUUGCUCGGAAUUACUGGGCGUAAAGGGCGCGUAGGCGGCCUAUCAAGUCAGGUGUGAAAGUCCACGGUUUAACCGUGGAAGUGCAUCUGAAACUGGCAGGCUUGAGUACUGGAGAGGAAAGUGGAAUUCCCGGUGUAGAGGUGAAAUUCGUAGAUAUCGGGAGGAACACCUGUGGCGAAGGCGACUUUCUGGACAGAUACUGACGCUGAGGCGCGAAAGCGUGGGGAGUAAACAGGAUUAGAUAUCCUGGUAGUCCACAGCUGUAAACGAUGUGCACUAGGUGUAGGAGGUGUUGAUCCUUUCUGUGCCGCAGUUAAUGUAUUAAGUGCACCGCCUGGGGAGUACGGUCGCAAGAUUAAAACUCAAAGGAAUUGACGGGGGCCCGCACAAGCGGUGGAGUAUGUGGUUUAAUUUGACGCAAUGCGCAGAACCUUACCUGGGUUUGACAUCCCGAGAAUUUAUUGGAAACAAUAAAGUGCCUCUUUAUAGAGGAGCUUGGAGACAGGUGCUGCAUGGCUGUCGUCAGUUUGUGUUGUGAGAUGUUGGGUUAAGUCCCGCAACGAGCGCAACCCACGCCUUUAGUUGCCAUUAGGUUAAGUUGGGCACUCUAGAGGGACUGCCCCGGUGAACGGGGAGGAAGGUGUGGAUGACGUCAAGUCCUCAUGGCCUUUAUAUCCAGGGCUACACACGUACUACAAUGGCCGGUACAAAGGGCAGCGAACUCGUGAGAGUAAGCGAAUUCCAUAAAGCCGGUCUCAGUCCGGAUCGGAGUCUGUAAUUCGACUCCGUGAAGUUGGAAUCGCUAGUAAUCGUGGAUUAGCAUGCCACGGUGAAUACGUUCCCGGGCCUUGUAUACACCGCCCGUCACACCACGAAAGUCGGUUGUACCAGAAGGUGCUGGGCUAACCCUCACGGGAGGCAGGUACCCAAGGUAUGGCUGGUAAUUGGGGUGAAGUCGUAACAAGGUA
rnacentral:rRNA from 1 species